AGGACCCUACGGGGGGCAGCAGUGAGGAAUAUUGGUCAAUGGGCGCAGGCCUGAACCAGCCAAGUCGCGUGAGGGAAGACUGCCCUAUGGGUUGUAAACCUCUUUUAUAAGGGAAGAAUAAUGACUACGCGUAGUCAGAUGCCCGUACCUUAUGAAUAAGCAUCGGCUAACUCCGUGCCAGCAGCCGCGGUAAUACGGAGGAUUCAAGCGUUAUCCGGAUUUAUUGGGUUUAAAGGGUGCGUAGGCGGUCGGAUAAGUUAGAGGUGAAAUCCCGAGGCUCAACUUCGGAAUUGCCUCUGAUACUG
rnacentral:rRNA from 1 species